UAAUACCGGAUGCGAAGAUGACACCGCAUGGUGUGAUCUUGAAAGAUGGCCUCUACAUGUAAGCUAUCGCCGGGGAUGGGCCUGCGUCCGAUUAGCUGGUUGGUGGGGUAACGGCCCACCAAGGCGACGAUCGGUAGCCGGUCUGAGAGGAUGAACGGCCACAUUGGGACUGAGACACGGCCCAGACUCCUACGGGAGGCAGCAGUGGGGAAUCUUCCGCAAUGGGCGCAAGCCUGACGGAGCAACGCCGCGUGGGUGAGGAAGUUCUUCGGAACGUAAAGCCCUGUUGUUUAUGACGAACGGGUUUCCUGUGAAUAAUGGGAAGCAGUGACGGUAAUAGACGAGGAAGCCACGGCUAACUACGUGCC
rnacentral:rRNA from 1 species